UACGUAGGUGGCAAGCGUUGUCCGGAUUUAUUGGGUUUAAAGGGUGCGUAGGCGGCUUGACAAGUCUGAUGUGAAAUCUAUGGGCUCAACCCAUAGUCUGCAUCGGAAACUGUCGGGCUUGAGUAUGGGAGAGGUGAGUGGAAUUCCCGGUGUAGUGGUGGAAUGCGUAGAUAUCGGGAGGAACACCAGUGGCGAAGGCGGUUGCCUGGGGCUUUGCUGACGCUGAUGCGCGAAAGCGUGGGGAGCGAUCCGG
rnacentral:rRNA from 1 species